rnacentral:lncRNA from 1 species
UUUCUAAUAUUAUAAUCAAAGAACAAAAUAGCAAUAUAAUAAGUUUUUGUAAAAGUAAACAAUGUCAAAACAAAUUAUCUUUUCUAUCUCAAGUAAAAUUGAGAUCUAACUAAAUGUAAUAAUCUCAACAUAAAACCAACUAAUUAACUCCUAAUUUAAAUGGAAUUAAAAUCUCCAGUAAAUUUGCAAUAAAUCUUUAUGAAAUCAUCAAUCCAAAAGUCGAGCAUGUUGAAGUCGAUACUUGACCUCAAUUUCCUUAAAAAUUCUGCACAAGAAAUGCACAUAAGAAAAUUUAUAACUAUAUAAUAAUAGAAAUUAGAUCCUCAUUAACUAGAACAAAUUGGGAUAUCAAAAAUGACUAAUUGAAUUUUUCUAAAAACAAACAUAUUAAGGAAUUGAUGCAAAAGCAGUAAUUAUACAUAUGAAAUUUUCCUCCUUUUGAAAGAAAAGAAAGAUCUUGUAGUGUUUUCAAACAUACCCACUUCUUUUUAUUUGUGCCAACUACGAUAGUUCCAGUCUUCUUG